rnacentral:rRNA from 1 species
GUAGGGAAUAUUGGGCAAUGGAUGCAAGUCUGACCCAGCCAUCCCGCGUGCCGGAAGAAGGCCCUCAGGGUUGUAAACGGCUUUUGACGGUGAAGAAUCGACAGGAUGCGUCCUGUUUUGACGGUAGCCGUUGAAUAAGCACCGGCUAACUCCGUGCCAGCAGCCGCGGUAAUACGGAGGGUGCGAGCGUUGUCCGGGUUUAUUGGGUUUAAAGGGUGCGUAGGCUGGAAGGUCAGUCAGCGGUGAAAAGCUGUCGCUUAACGAUAGUCUUGCCGCAGAUACUUCCUUUCUUGGAUGAGGAGGAGGCCACUGGAACGGAUGGUGUAGCGGUGAAAUGCAUAGAUAUCAUCCAGAACACCGAUUGCGAAGGCAGGUGGCUGUACCUUAAUCGACGCUGAUGCACGAAAGCAUGGGGAGCAAACAGGAUUAGAAACCCCUGUAGUCC